GGGUCAGUAGGUUGGUCGUGCCACCGGUACGUACUGGUCUCACUGAUUCCUCCUUCCUGAAGAACCGUAAUGCCAUUAAUUUGGCGUUGCGGGGAAACAGGACUGUUACUUUGAAAAAAUUAGAGUGUUUAAAGCAAGCUAACGCUUGAAUACAUUAGCACGGAAUAAUGAAAUAGGACGAUCGAUCCUAUUUUGUUGGUUUCUAGGAUUGACGUA
rnacentral:rRNA from 1 species